AUGGCGUCGAGCGGUGGAAUGAUGUUGGCCAUGAUGGGCCUCGUGGCCGCGCUGGUCUGCCCUGCGGUGGCAUCAGAGUUCAUCUCCAUGCCCACCGACGACGUCGUGCUCCCUGAUGGCCUCUCCUACGACUUCCACGCCCAGUCCUGCCCCAACCUGCAGGACAUGGUGCGCGCCGCUGUGGUGACAGCGCGCAACAAGGACAUCGGCGUCGUCGCCGGCCUCCUCCGUGUCUUUUUCAACGACUGCUUCCCUAAUGGCUGCGACGCGUCGCUCUUGCUGGAAGAAAGCCCCCACUACUUGAGCGAGCGGAUGAUUUUGCCCCAUAACGCCGGGCUGCACGAGGGCGCGCUCAACCUCAUCGAGAGUAUCCGCAAUACCGUGCACAUCACCUGCAAGAACGUGUCCUGCGCCGACAUCAGCAUGCUCGCCACCCGGGAGGCCAUCAUGCUGUCAGGGGCACCAAGCUACGAUGUGCCGCUCGGCUGGAUGGACAGCUUUGGUCCGGCCACGUUUGAUGAGGUCGACGAGUUCCUGUUCAUACCCAAGUAUUCCAAGAUCUUUGAUCUCGUCACGGUCUUCGGGUUCCGCGGCUUCGACAGGACUGACCUCGCCGCGCUUUCGGGCGCGCACACCAUCGGGAAGACACGCUGCGGGAGGGUCGACGACCGCACCGUCACCCCUGGCGAUGACGUCGAGUUCGUCAACUUCAUCAAGAAAGUUUGCAAAAUCAAUCCUGACCAUAGGCAAGACCUUGACGUUACCACCCCUAACACAUUCGACAAUAAUUACUACCGCAACCUCCUGGCGGGUAAGGCGGUGCUCGGUUCCGACACGGAGCUCCUCCUCGACAGGGUGACCAAAGAUUUGGUUGAGAAGUUUGCUAAGGACCAGGGCUUGUUCUUUUCACAGUUCGGCAAAUCCAUGUCGAAGGUAGCACAUAUUUCCGUGGGAGCAAACUAUGGCGAGUACCGCCGCAACUGCUUCAGGCCCAACUUUAUAAGGAACCUCACAGACGAGGGUUUUGUGGCCAGAGAUUGA
rnacentral:rRNA from 1 species